CUUUAUUUACAAAAAAAAUUGCACACGCUUCCAUAUCUCUGUGACUUUAGACCUAAAGUGCGUCUUAUUUCUUCACCUUCUUCGCUAAGUCGGUAUAAAUAACAAAUUAUUUCUGUUGUAGUGUACAAUAUCAGUGCAGUCUCGAGACAAGUGGACAUACAAUAAUUAUACAAAUAUGAAGUUCUACCUCUUUGCCAUCGUUAUGCUUAUGGCAGUAGUGUCAGUGGUUCUCGCUACUCUAGAUACCAUGGGACCGGAUGACUGUCCACCUGGAACUAUUAGAGUUGGAACUGAAUGUUAUCACUUCAUUAAGCCUAAAAGUAGAUUCGAAAAAAAUUAUAAUAAUCAUCAAGUUUAGGCCAUUCACGAUACACAAACAAAUCAAUGAAUUUAUGACUCGCGAUACAUUAAAUAUAUGAUAUCAUCAAAAACAUUCUGAAAAAUAUCCCCAAAUCUCGCACCUCAGUUUUCCUACAGUAAAAAGUAGUGAGAUCAAUGUAAUACCAAGUCGGUUAUUUUAUUUAGUCCCUAUUUAAGAGACUUCUGUCUUAAGUUAUUAUGUAAAUUGUUAUCAUAUCGAUAUUACAUUUAUUUUACGUUUUAAAUAAAAUAAAUCGACUUGGCCAUCGCGAAACGAUCCUAACAACCCCUAAAUUCCUAACCCCCAAACGGCCAGCAACGCACUUGUAACGCCUGUGGUGUUUCGGGUGUCCAGGGGCGGCGGCGAUUAUUUAUCAUCAGGUGAUCCGUCAGUCCGUUUACUGGCUUAUACCAUAAAAAAAUAUAUAUGUUACCUAAUUAUUAUGGUUUUAUAUAGGUAAUGUAUUUUUCAAUAAAUGUGUCAUUAAUUAAA